GCCACGUACAAAAAAAUCACACCAAAUUCAUCACAAUGAUAAGAGAAAGGAAAUCAAAGAAAUAAAAGAAGACAAAAUACGAAAACAUAAUUCCUACACAUAAAUCAAUCACAUGGAUGAAGACUUAGUUCUCUAUAUCACAGAAAGUCCUAUGGGCAAUCUCUGAAGAAGAAAACUGCAGCAUCACUGAUGGGCAUAAAACCCUUAGAGUUCGAUGUUUGGACUUCCAUAUUUCAACCUUAAAUCGAAUUCUUGCCUUGAUCCUCACAUCUAACUGCACCUUUCCUGCUGCUUUCUCAUGCAUCAGGUCCUUAGACAACCCAUUAGACAAUGCAGCAUCUCUAGCCUCAAGCUUUGCCUCUAGUUGAGUCACAUUCCUUCGAGGUUGAUGAAACGGCUCCAAGGUGUUGAAGGCAAUAGUUUGAUCAUCAUAAGAUAAAGAAACAUCAAUAGUAUCGUAGUAUAUAGUGAUCCUCCUAUUAGGGUUACCUGCCCUUAUCAGAAAAUCAAACGAGGCAUUGAGGUGGUUGUACUUGAGGUUGAAGUUACUCACUGAACCAUUUUCAAUGGAGUAAACAAGUUGUUUUGGCUUGAUUACUAGCCAAAUGAUUAGCACAGCUAGACCCACAAGAAAUAUCAGGGCUAGUAUGACCAUAGCAAUGACUCGAAGCAGCUUCGAGUGGGUUUGGGUGGUCACAUUAGCCAUUGGUGAAGGGUUGAUGGGGUUAUGGUGAUUG
rnacentral:misc_RNA from 1 species